rnacentral:misc_RNA from 1 species
GGAAGGAUCAUUAACACUAAUCCACUCACCUUAACCUAACCUCGAGUGUGCUUCGAUGUCGAGAGCUUGCUCUCUGACUGACUAGCGCAUUAACAAAACUAUCAUUCAAAGAAACUUAACUAAGCUCAACCACUAAAUCCAAAUUCUCAACGAUGGAUAUCUUGGUUCCCAUAACGAUGAAGAACGCAGCGAAGUGCGAUAAGCAGUGCGAAUUGCAGAACCGUGAGUCAUCAGAUUUUUGAACGCAAUUGGCGCCGAUUGGCUCUCCAGUCGGCAUGCUUGUUUCAGUGUCUUGUUUUCUCCUCACCCAAAUCUUAAUGCGAGAGAUACCCUUCUCUUGUUAAGUAAGAAAGCACUCUGAGCCCUGCUGGUGUCAGACUUCGGUCUUGGACACACUCAAUGCAGUAGUCACAUUGUUCACAGUGUGAACUCAUUGAGAGUAGAGUCAGCGCAGCUUGUCUGCAAGUGCUUGGAUCACUUAAACUCUUCUUGUAUCUGAAAUCAAGCAGGAUCACCCGCUGAACUUAAGCAUAUCACUAAGCGGAGGAAAAGAAAUUAACUAAGAUUGCCUCAGUAACGGCGAGUGAAGUGGCAAAAGCCCAAACUGGAAAUCUCCAUGCUUCGCAUGGCGAAUUGUAAUCUAAAGGUGGGAAGCUUACCUAGUCGUGACGCAUAAGUGCUCAAGAAAGGGCCGCCAGAGAGGGUGAAAGCCCCGUAUUUGGUGUCAUGACUUACCGAGCUCCUUUCAAAGAGUCGGGUUGUUUUGAACUACAGCCCUAAGCUGGGAGAUAGACUUCUUCUAAGGCUAAAUAUAUAUGGGAAACCGAUAGCGAACAAGUACUGUGAAGGAAAGAUGAAAAGAACUUUGAAAAGAGAGUGACAAGACUUGAAAUCGUUGAGAAGGAAGCGGUAGAAAUUUAUUCUUCUGGUGAGAACGAAGGUGUUCGCCUAACCAUUGGGGCUCGUGAGCACUUCAUAGGCUCUGGACCUCACUUGGGGAAGUGAUAGCUGGGUUCUCACCGUGAGGCAAAAUGAGGUCUCGUUCUCUCAAAAGCUGCUUUGACCUGGUCGGCUUCGGCUGGCAGUCCUGGUGUGCUCGAGAGAGUGGGGCCUGAGGAGCUUCGUGCGAUUUUGCCAAAAUGGUUUUUACCGACCCGUCUUGAAACACGGACCAAGGAGUCUAACAUAUAUGCAAGUGUGCUGGUUGAGAAACCACCACGCGUAAUGAAAGUGAUUGAUGCCAAGCCCCCCGCAGCAUCGACCGACCAUGAUCCUCUGGAGAAAGGUUUGAGUAUGAGCAUAUCUGUUAGGACCCGAAAGAUGGUGAACUAUGCCUGGGUAGGGUGAAGCCAGGGGAAACUCUGGUGGAGGCUCGUAGCGGUUCUGACGUGCAAAUCGAUCGUCAAACCUGGGUAUAGGGGCGAAAGACUAAUCGAACCAUCUAGUAGCUGGUUCCCUC